rnacentral:rRNA from 1 species
AUUGAACGCUGGCGGCAUGCCUUACACAUGCAAGUCGAACGGCAGCACGGGGCAACCUGGUGGCGAGUGGCGAACGGGUGAGUAAUGCAUCGGAACGUACCUUUCAGUGGGGGAUAACGUAGCGAAAGUUACGCUAAUACCGCAUAUUCUGUGAGCAGGAAAGCAGGGGAUCGCAAGACCUUGCGCUGAUUGAGCGGCCGAUGCCAGAUCAGCUAGUUGGUGAGGUAAAGGCUCACCAAGGCGACGAUCUGUAGCGGGUCUGAGAGGAUGAUCCGCCACACUGGAACUGAGACACGGUCCAGACUCCUACGGGAGGCAGCAGUGGGGAAUUUUGGACAAUGGGGGCAACCCUGAUCCAGCCAUGCCGCGUGAGUGAAGAAGGCCUUCGGGUUGUAAAGCUCUUUCGGCCGGGAAGAAAUCGCACGGGCUAAUACCCUGUGUGGAUGACGGUACCGGAAUAAGAAGCACCGGCUAACUACGUGCCAGCCGCCGCAGUAAAAC